rnacentral:misc_RNA from 1 species
UCGCGCUCGGACAGGAACAGUUCGGAUGGAUUGGAGACUUCGCGCAGGCCCAGACCGGUCAUCUCGAACACACCGAUUUCGUCGGUAGGACCGAAGCGGUUCUUCACCGCGCGCAGGAUGCGGAACUGCUGCGAGCCUUCGCCCUCGAAGCUCAUCACCGCAUCGACCAUGUGCUCGACCACACGGGGGCCGGCGAUCUGGCCGUCCUUGGUGACGUGACCGACC